CCCGUGGAAGCUCAUCUGGAUGCAGCAGGCGACUCUUAAUCGCAAGGCAGCGGGUUCGACCCCCGCCCGCGGGA
rnacentral:tRNA from 1 species